GAUGAACGCUGGCGGCGUGCCUAAUACAUGCAAGUCGAGCGAACAGACGAGGAGCUUGCUCCUCUGACGUUAGCGGCGGACGGGUGAGUAACACGUGGAUAACCUACCUAUAAGACUGGGAUAACUUCGGGAAACCGGAGCUAAUACCGGAUAAUAUAUUGAACCGCAUGGUUCAAUAGUGAAAGACGGUUUUGCUGUCACUUAUAGAUGGAUCCGCGCCGCAUUAGCUAGUUGGUAAGGUAACGGCUUACCAAGGCAACGAUGCGUAGCCGACCUGAGAGGGCGACCGGACAAACUGGAACUGAGAGACGGGCCGGACUACUACGGGAAGCAGCAGUAGGGAAUCAUCCACAAGGGGCGAAAACGUGACGAAGCAACGCCGCGUGAGUGAUGAAGGUCUGCGGAUCGUAAAACUCUGUUAUUAGGGAAGAACAAAUGUGUAAGGAACAAUGCACGUCUUGACGGUACCUAAUCAGAAAGCCAGGGCUAAGUACGUG
rnacentral:rRNA from 1 species